AUUGCAAGCUCAAGUUGCGCGUGCGCUGAGAGGCGUGUGCGCAUGUAUGUAAACUAGCGGCCUUUUCCUAUUGAGGGCAGACGAGACGCGUCUUUUCUGCUAAGAAAACAUAUAUUAUAGUUAGUGUAUACAUAAACAGCAGCCCUGCCCCGACGCGGCCCAACCCCAAGCGGAGCCGUCAUGUGGCAGGAGGCCCGCAAACAUGAGCGCAAACUCCGUGGGAUGAUGGUGGACUACAAGCGUCGUGGGGAGCGACGCAGAGAGUACUAUGAGAAAAUUAAAAAGGAUCCAGCCCAGUUUCUUCAGGUUCACGGGCGAGCAUACAAAAUCCACCUGGAUUCAGCGGUAGCCCUGGCAGCUGAGAGUCCCAUCAACAUGAUGCCUUGGCAAGGAGAUACCAAUAACAUGAUUGAUAGAUUUGAUGUCAGAGCACACCUGGACUACAUCCCAACCUAUACACCACCUCUUCUGAUCACACCCACCCCUGAACAGGAAUCUGAAGAGAGGAAAUGCAAUUAUGAGCGGUAUAGAGGUUUGGUGCAGAAUGACUUUGCUAACAUCUCUGAGGAGCAGUGUUUGUACCAGAUAUAUGUUGAUGAGCUCUACGGUGGCCUGCUGAGACCAAAUGAGGAUGAAAAGAAAAAACCUACUGAGAAGAAAGCUCAGAUUGGAUAUACCUAUGAAGACAGCACAGUGACAGAAUCGCAUGAUCCAGAGAAGGAAAACGACGAUGACUCGGAAAACAGCGAGUCUGAGGAAGACGAGGUCAUCCCUGACAUUGACGUUGAGGUGGAUGUCGAUGAACUGACCCCAGAACAGAACACUGAGAUCAACAAGAUGGGCACCACUUAUGGCAUGGCAGACGGGGACUUUGUUUGGAUGUUGAGGAAGGACAAGGAGGAAGUGGAGGCCAUUAAACACGCUAAAGCUUUGGAGGCGGAGAAGGCCAUGUAUUCUGGUCGGCGUUCUCGCAGGCAGCGACGAGAGUUUAGAGAAAAAUAUAUGAAAGGACGACAGAUCAGCCCACCCAGCUAUGCCAGAAGAGACAGUCCCACAUAUGACCCAUACAAACGGCCACAGUCAGAUUCAAGUUCAGAGUCCCGCUCUCGAUCCCGAUCUCCAGGCAAUGAUAAAAUCACCUUCAUUACUAGCUUCGGGGGCAGUGAUGAGGAGGGAGCCGCAGCCACGCAAGCCCUGCCUGCGGCACCGUCAAGCCACACCUCCUCCAACACCGCAGGUCAUAGCAGGGGCUCCCGUCGAAGACGCUCAUCCUCAAGUCACUCAUCCUAUUCCUCCCGCUCCUCUUCGCAUCGCUCCUCACGUUCAUCCUCCCGUUCCCGCCGGAGUCGACGUUCUCGUGGAGGCAGAGACCGGGACAGCCGCUAUUCGCGGUCUCGUUCUCGCUCUCGUCGGCGCUCUGAUUCCCGUUCACGGCAACGCAGUGGAGGUGGCGGCUCGAGGAGACGAUACGACAGGACACGAUCUCGUUCUGCAGAUCGGGACAGGGGAAGAGACCGAAACCGAGACAGAGAACGAGACCGGGAUAGAGGGAGGUGCUACACGGGCCGCAGACGAUCCAGGUCUCGCUCACACUCGCGUUCAGGUGAUCGUUAUCGGCGAAGGAGUCGCAGCUCGGCGUACAGGAGGGGUGGCAGCAUCAGUCAAAGCCCCUCCCGCUCACCCGCCGCAAGCCGUAGCUCCUCCCCCUCUUCCCGUUCUGCUCAGCCUGCCUGUGCUUCUGGUGACAAGCUGAGAAAGCCUGACACUGCGGGUGGUAAAGAGACUGGAGCUGCCAAAGUCAGUAAGAAUUUAAUAUAUCUCGAAUUUGUUGCUAAAGACUUCGCCUCCCUCACCCCUGACAGGCUGAUGCAGUUAGCAAUCACGCUGGGGCUCUUGCCCAUCUCUUGUGCCCUUGGCUCUACAGAGAGCCUUUGAUCUCAUUGGAAAUGCUUUUGAUUAGGUCAUCAGUUGUCCUGGCGCACAAGGUGGCUGCAGUGCCCUGUCUUUACAGAUUUUAAGCAGAAGUUACCUGAAUGACCUUAUAUGCCUUUUGGAACGUGUAUAAUGCAAGGUGUCUGAGAGUGAUGUUUUUAUGUAUUUAAGGAAAGAUACAUUUGACUUUAUUUAACCCAAUAAUGGUUAUCUGAACUGCUGGGUUGUUGAUAGACACCCUGGGAAUGAUGUGAUGAAAGGGAAACUACAAAGGUAUAAUGGAUGUUAUGAGGUUGUCUAAGCAGUUAGGGAGCUCAGGUGGUGCUUCUGCUCUGGGCUUGUCAAGACAGGCAGAGGAACUUCACUCACUUACACACAAACACACCUGCAUAAGUCAAUACACAUUGUCCUUGUGGGUUGAACAGAUUACCGCUAUGAAAAGCAGAACCAUCUGAAAUGGCUACAGUUGCCAUUUUGUCACGGUUUCACCAAGUUGCCAUGCCUGACCCGGUAAAAGAUAAUAUAGCUUUGUACUAUUUGUUCAGUGUUUUUUUGAUUGUGUCUAAAUUGCUACCAUCAUUUGCCUGUUCACACCUUGCCCCUACUGCCCGCACAAACAAAUACCUGCAACAAAUACAGGCAAAAAGGACAACCGGUGAUGUGAAAUCUGACCACCUGUUGAUGUUAAACAGGCAGCGAAUUAAUGAUCUGUAUGUGGUCUAAAAGCACUCCCCCAUCUGCAUGAAUCUACCUUGGCAUAGAUAACUUGUGCUCGGUUUUUGUGCAGUUGCCUGAUCUCUUUAUUCCCGCCUGUUCUAAAGUCUGUGUGUCUA